CCCGUGCUCUCUCAGUCUCUCUCUUCUGCAACUCUCUCUUUCUCUCUUCUGCAACCUCCUCUUUCACCACCUCUAGACCACCAAAUGGCGAGCUGCGAGCAUCGAUAGACUCGUCUCUUCCUCCUUAUCACGCAUGUGGGAGUUGUUUACGACGAUUUGGCCGGAAAUGUGGAGAUCGAAGCCAACAUUUUUACUGUAGCAAAUUAGUCAACGCCGAUUUCCGGCCACCUCCAGUCAUAAACCCAGGUCCAUUAGAAGCGCCUUAAGCCGCUCUUCAUGCUCGCCAAGUCUCAUAACCCAGAUCGAAGCAUGGAGGAAGAAAGCAUAAUUGGAAAAUUUCACUGUACAUCGGAGUGCUUAAUUGUUCGGCUACUUCAAGGUGAUUGACGGUUUGAGUUGGUGGACGAUUGUGGAUCGUAUUUUGAGCUGAAUUGAAGACGCAGCGGGAUUAUCGAGCGGGAAAUCCUACAGGACAGGAGAACCAGGACGGUGAUCGUGCGGUUAGAGCAAUUGUUAGAGUUUUACAGCAAUUGUAAGUUGUGAGGUGCGUUAUGCUCAUUUAGAGCUUUACAAUAUUGCUUGUGAGAGUGAAUUGUAAUAAUGAACUCGAGGUUUCGAGAUUUGGAGUUUGUGUACCGUGUGGUGAAGUUAUAUUGAGAAAAAAAAAUUCAGAAUGUUUAUUUGAUUAAAUGGUUUAAUUCAUGUUUCGGAUUUGAAUUUAUCAUUCAAAAUUCGGGGCGUGACAGUUUGGUAUCAGAGCGUAAGGUGCAUAUUUGGUGAUGUGUCAAUACCUUCCGAGUGAUGGCCCGUCUGCAGCGGAUCCCCAUCGUGUGCUCUUCGGUAUUGGCUAAGUCAUUGGGUAUGCGUGA